CCUGGUGUGUUAUCAAAGCGAAAGUGGUCUAGCGAAAUUACUUUUUUAUUGUUCUGACCUUUUAUAAUAAAUAUUAUGUCACGAAGACUCCAUUAUGUAUUAACGUAAAAUAUAUGUAUGGUGGUUGUGGCGAUGUUGGUGACUGGAUGAGCGUUGAUGAGGGUAGUCGAAGUGAUUUGUCGCAUGCUAUACCAAAUUUGGCAUUAUACCUACCUAUUACCCUUUUAUAGUUUUGGAAUACAUGCAAAGUAUGAGGGCUAACGGCGCUAUUUAGCAGCAAUUAAAAUUUGUCACGAAAUAUCCUUAAUUUGUUAUCGGUUGGACGAAGUUCAUUUGUAAUAGUACACAGACACAGUGAUAAUCUAUGCACGUAGUUACAUACGAGUACAUACAUAUAUGAAUGAUUAUCCUGGCAAUAAGGGUAUGGGGGUUGGUAUCAUCAAACUGGACACAAUUUAACAAAAAGGGCAAUAGCUAUGGCGAGGCGAGGCAAUGUAGUUUCAAUAAUAUUGAGCAUUUAUGAGAGGCUAACCGUUAUCCUGCGGCCAUGUUACAACCUGGCUAUGCUUAUAUAUGCAAAAAACGAGGUCAGUUGCGGCUUGUGAAUAAGGGAUUCGGUUAGAACACAUUUGAAUAUGGUCACUGUGCAUAAAAUGCGAUCAUACACGAACAAGGAACACAAAUAAAACAGUCUUGUUAUUGUAAUUACACUUUACAAGAACAGCAGGCUGGUGUCUAAUUUCACUAUAAUAAUUUAGUUUCAGCUAUAAA